GGAAUUUCUAACCGGCUUUGGUUUCAGUAAUGUCCUCGACUUGGCUUACACAUAUCUUGAAGCCUAUGUGAAAAAAAAGUUCUUCGAAAUGAAGCUUAGGAACAAAAGGCGCCCCGCCACAUUUGGAUUUGUACACAAGCUAGUCCAGCUACCAGGAACCGAGGGAAUUCAGAAGAUUUUAAAUGUGGAUGGGUACGAAGGGACAGUCAGAAAUAGGAGAUGUAAGGAAGCUUUGGUUCGGGAUGUAGUCGCACUACUUGUAUUCAACAAACUGCACAUAUCUUUACCAGCAGCAAGGCGAAGAUGCUGUCAAACUGAACAUUCAUCGUUACACACGGCACUUAAAAUAAGUGAACAAUUAAGAGCACACCGCUUAAUCAGCAGUACUGAAUCGUAACUGGCAUGCUGUGUACGUAAAUAAUAGAUGACUG